AGCAGUAGCCACGGUAAUACGGAGGGCGCGAGCGUUACCCGGAUUUACUGGGCGUAAAGGGCGUGUAGGCGGCCUGGGGCGUCCCAUGUGAAAGGCCACGGCUCAACCGUGGAGGAGCGUGGGAUACGCUCAGGCUAGAGGGUGGGAGAGGGUGGUGGAAUUCCCGGAGUAGCGGUGAAAUGCGCAGAUACCGGGAGGAACGCCGAUGGCGAAGGCAGCCACCUGGUCCACUUCUGACGCUGAGGCGCGAAAGCGUGGGGAGCAAACCGGAUUAGAUACCCCCGUAGUCCCUGUCUCUUAUAC
rnacentral:rRNA from 1 species